UUACGGCCAUAUGACGUUGAAACAGCUGUCCCAAUACGAUUACGGAAGUUAAGCAACAUCGAGCCUGGUCAGAACCUGGAUGGGUGACCGCUUGGGAAUACCAAGUACUA